rnacentral:rRNA from 1 species
GAUGAACGCUGGCGGCGUGCCUAAUACAUGCAAGUCGAGCGAACGGACGAGAAGCUUGCUUCUCUGAUGUUAGCGGCGGACGGGUGAGUAACACGUGGAUAACCUACCUAUAAGACUGGGAUAACUUCGGGAAACCGGAGCUAAUACCGGAUAAUAUUUUGAACCGCAUGGUUCAAAAGUAAAAGACGGUCUUGCUGUCACUUAUAGAUGGAUCCGCGCUGCAUUAGCUAGUUGGUAAGGUAACGGCUUACCAAGGCAACGAUGCAUAGCCGACCUGAGAGGGUGAUCGGCCACACUGGAACUGAGACACGGUCCAGACUCCUACGGGAGGCAGCAGUAGGGAAUCUUCCGCAAUGGGCGAAAGCCUGACGGAGCAACGCCGCGUGAGUGAUGAAGGUCUUCGGAUCGUAAAACUCUGUUAUUAGGGAAGAAUAUAUGUGUAAGUAACUGUGCACAUCUUGACGGUACCUAAUCAGAAAGCCACGGCUAACUACGUGCCAGCAGCCGCGGUAAUACGUAGGUGGCAAGCGUUAUCCGGAAUUAUUGGGCGUAAAGCGCGCGUAGGCGGUUUUUUAAGUCUGAUGUGAAAGCCCACGGCUCAACCGUGGAGGGUCAUUGGAAACUGGAAAACUUGAGUGCAGAAGAGGAAAGUGGAAUUCCAUGUGUAGCGGUGAAAUGCGCAGAGAUAUGGAGGAACACCAGUGGCGAAGGCGACUUUCUGGUCUGUAACUGACGCUGAUGUGCGAAAGCGUGGGGAUCAAACAGGAUUAGAUACCCUGGUAGUCCACGCCGUAAACGAUGAGUGCUAAGUGUUAGGGGGUUUCCGCCCCUUAGUGCUGCAGCUAACGCAUUAAGCACUCCGCCUGGGGAGUACGACCGCAAGGUUGAAACUCAAAGGAAUUGACGGGGACCCGCACAAGCGGUGGAGCGUGUGGUUUAAUUCGAAGCAACGCGAAGAACCUUACCAAAUCUUGACAUCCUCUGACCCCUCUAGAGAUAGAGUUUUCCCCUUCGGGGGACAGAGUGACAGGUGGUGCAUGGUUGUCGUCAGCUCGUGUCGUGAGAUGUUGGGUUAAGUCCCGCAACGAGCGCAACCCUUAAGCUUAGUUGCCAUCAUUAAGUUGGGCACUCUAAGUUGACUGCCGGUGACAAACCGGAGGAAGGUGGGGAUGACGUCAAAUCAUCAUGCCCCUUAUGAUUUGGGCUACACACGUGCUACAAUGGACAAUACAAAGGGUAGCGAAACCGCGAGGUCAAGCAAAUCCCAUAAAGUUGUUCUCAGUUCGGAUUGUAGUCUGCAACUCGACUAUAUGAAGCUGGAAUCGCUAGUAAUCGUAGAUCAGCAUGCUACGGUGAAUACGUUCCCGGGUCU